AGAGACAGUAUUCUUCAUCAUUUGCAGAACCAGGAACAGCUAAACAAUCUAUGGCCUACUUUCUGAAGGCUGACGACUAGGUUAUUGGAACAAAAGGAGAGACAAGAGACAAAGACCACUGUGACCCAUCCUGAUGACCCUGGGGCCCAGGAAACAUCACUUCCUGUGAUAACCAUCAUGAUAUUCCCACUUGCAGCGCUAACAGAAUGGAACUGGCAGUUCAAGAGGAAUUGGAGCAGUAUUUACAAGCCCUCAGAAACUGCCAGAUUAAGGAGGAGCGCAUUGAAAGGACUGUGCUGAAUACAGAAAACCCACUGCAAUCCCCAGUAAAUCUGAAAACUGGUUUGUCGGAACACAUGAAGAUUGGGAUUAAGUUCCAGAAAUUUGAACCACUAACUGUGAAAUAAUAACAGUUGACACUAGAGACUCAUUAAAUAAUAAAACAAAACAUCACCACUACGUCUUUGAACAGGAAGCACCUUUUAGGUAAUCACAGCAAAACAUUCUGGAUUGUUAUUUGCUAAGACUCCUCAUUUAUCUUUUGAAAAUGCAUUGAGGAAGUUGACUUUUGGACAACGUUGUAAGACAGCGACUACAGACUUCCCCAAAUCGAUAUCCAUUAAAAAAGUCCUGAGAUGGGAACGAUUGAUAAUCAGAUUCCAAAUUGAUAACACAAACAUCUGUAUCUUCAAAUGGACAAAAAAACUAGACUUGUGCGAAUGAUUCACAGUUACAAAGGAUCAAAGAUAAUCACUGGAUUUAUCGUGAGAAUCAACACAGAGCUAUCAUGCAGUCUUCACUGUGAUCUCAAUGUAGAAGGUGUUGCUUUACUGGAUGACAUUCCUUUGAUUGGCAGGUAGCCCUCUGUUGACAAACAGUUAUCACCAUGGGCCUGAAAAACUUCUUUGUUAUUUUCCUAUUUUGAUUACACAGUGUUAAUGGUUUUUCAUGUCAAGUUUGUAAAUAGUUCAUGAUGUCUUUGAGUCUGAUGUUUGCAUUUAAAAUUUUCUGCAGCUUUAUGAACAGAAAUUUUGCUAAAUUAUGGUGGGGCUGUUAAUUAUUGUUAUCUGAUCCAUAAUUUUUUUUAAAUAUCUGGAAAUGAUCUGCAAACGCAUAUGUGCGAUGCAGAUGGAACUUCCGCAUAUGGAUGAAUGUACUACCAGUAAUAACUUUAUUAGUUUUAAAGAAAUCUAAUUUUAGAACAUUGACAGUCUGAAUUGAAAGUCAUACAGCAUCAAGACACCUCUGUGCUUCAGUUUCUUUUAAUUAUGUGAAUAAAAUACUUAGUUCAUAAUUUAUGGAUUUUAUCCAGAUUUCACCAUCUUCUAUUCCCUCUGUGCCCUUCAAUUCCAUUUGGCUUGCAGUAGAAAAAAGUCUCUGUUAUUUAUAAUUUUUUUUACCGUUCAACAGUAUGCACAUAUCAACAGCUUCAAUUUUCAUAUGAAUUCAGAUUGUUUAAACAUUACAGGGUGAAGUUUCUUUGAUUCUGAUGUAAUUGUAACAUUAUAAUCACAGCAGGAAGAGUUCUUCUGAUCACUGAAAACAUAUGCAGAUCUUAAAACAAAGUUCUUACAAUUUGUUAGGAAUAUUAAUCAGAAGAAAUCUCGUGCAUGCAUUACAAUUUUGAAAUGCAUUAUGAUUCGGAAGAUAAACCCCUACUGUCAGAUUGUUGUUAGUUUGUAUUUAUUUGUUAUGCCCAGGCACAUUUAAGAAUUAUACUUUUCAUUAAUGAUCUGCUGAAUUCAUCUGUAAUUCCCUAUUUGUAAAUAUUUGUGUUUAAAAUGUUGUUGACAGCAUAUUAAUUAAUACAUUUUAUUUCUGUGAACAAUUGUUGUGUUUUAUCCCCUGAAUUAAAUUUUAAUUUAUAGCAAAA